GCUCGGCUCUCCGGAGGGAGAAGGAAAACGCUCUGGCAGACGCUGGUUUUUUUAUUUUUUAAUUUUUUUUUUUUCCUGCCUUCAGUUCUUGCUCGGGGGCGGGGAGGGGGAUGGCGAGCGUUUGGAUGUUUUAAAAUGUUCCUCCGGGGAAGCAGAUGCCGAAAGCCCCGAACUGAAUUUUUUUUUACUUGCGCCGUAGCUCCCAGGCACGAAAUGGAUAUGCAGGAAUUAGGAGUGCAUAAAAUGAAGGAUAUUCUAGCCAGAAUGAAAAAGGCAAAGACUUUGAUUUAUACCCUUUCUCUCCUCCCCCCCAGUCCCUUUAUUUAUUUAUUUAAUUAUUUUGCUGGCUUUCAAAUGAAUUACUAUUCACAAGGUACCAAAAUGGUAUCUGUCUCUAACACGGGCUAGUCCAAAAAGCAUUAGACUCCUGGGUGAUGCAUGCAUAAGCACAUCCCCAAGGAAGGUAAAACAGAUCAGGCUGCGGGUCCCCAUAAAUACCAUUAAGUUCAGAAUAAAAGUGCUUCCUGUGCAGCCCUUCGGGAGCACAUAUAGCAGUCUGACAUCAUGAUACAAGUGCCUUCACCUCCUAUAGAAGUCCCCCUUUAUUGUCUACUUUUUAAAUAUUCAUUUGGUGAGGAGAGAACCAGUAUAUGCUGGGAGAGCUUCUUUGUACCGCUGCUACAAAGGACAGAGUGGCUGUGUAACACAGUAUUUACCUACCCAGAUAUCUGUGACAAAGGAACCUCUUUAGCAAAUGAGGUCACUAAUUCAGAAAUUGGCCCUUUAUGAGGAGAACGCUCACUUCUUUUUCACGUUCCAAUUACUAGCAAGUCUCUAAGAAAGACUUUCUUCCUGUUGAUUUGUGCUGGUGAUACGAUAAGGUUUUCACAGACUCCGUGCCUCUCUAUUAAGAAAUUGAAUGUUUUGAAUUAUUUACUAAUGGAACUGUUGAAUGAGAGCGGCAGUGCGGGCUCAGGGGCAGGGAAGCACGCAUUCAGGCGCUGCUGCAUGUCCGUCUCCUUCCCCCCCCUUGCUCUGCCGUCUGCCUCGCUGCUUCCAAAGUCUGUGUGAUUCUCCAGGCCUCCUAAGGCUGACCCAGAAGAAAUGUCAACAAAUGUUUGUGAGUCCUUGUGGCCUUGUAACAUUUCCUUUAAAAAGUGAAGAAUGGAACAGCAGGAGCUGUAACACUCCCCCAGAACAGACAUAUGAAGGCAUAUGGCUGACAUGGGAGCCUGCUGGCUCUUCCAAGAUUGCUGGCUUCAUUUUUAAGGAUCCUUUUUUUUUUAAUUCCUCAAGACAGCUAAACUUGUCUCUCUGGUGAGUUGGUGUACUCUGCUCAGAGCAGAGUUUGGAAUGCCUGGGGUCCUGUGCAGCCCCUGCUGUGCCAUGGGAGAGCCCACAGGUUGUUGCUGCACGUGGCAGAUGGGGAAAUGCAGGGAGGGUGAGACGUGGUGGCUG
rnacentral:lncRNA from 1 species